GGUUAUAGCUCAGCGGUAGAGAGCUCGCCUAGCACGUAUGAGGCACUGGGUUCGAUCCUCAGCACCA
rnacentral:tRNA from 1 species